rnacentral:rRNA from 1 species
AGUAGCCGCGGUAAAACGAAGGGUGCAAGCGUUGUUCGGAAUUAUUGGGCGUAAAGGGCGCGUAGGCGGUUUGACAAGUCUGAUGUGAAAUCUCUGGGCUCAACCCAGAGUCUGCAUCGGAAACUGUCGAGCUUGAGUAUGGGAGAGGUGAGUGGAAUUUCCGGUGUAGCGGUGAAAUGCGUAGAUAUCGGAAGGAACACCUGUGGCGAAAGCGGCUCACUGGACCAUUACUGACGCUGAGGCGCGAAAGCUAGGGGAGCAAACAGGAUUAGACACCCCCGUAGUCCCUGUCUCUUAUACC